rnacentral:rRNA from 1 species
CCUANGGGUGGCUGCAGUCGAGAAUAUUCCACAAUGGACGAAAGUCUGAUGGAGCGACGCCGCGUGCGGGAUGAAGGCCCUUGGGUUGUAAACCGCUUUUGUGAGGGAAAAAUUUACAUGAUGGUACCUUACGAAUAAGAGGUUACUAACUCUGUGCCAGCAGUAGCGGUAAUACAGAGACCUCAAGCGUUAUCCGGAUUUAUUGGGCGUAAAGAGCUGGUAGGUGGUUAUAUUAGUCAGAUGUCAAAUCUUCGAGCUCAACUCGAAAACUGCAUUUGAAACGGUAUAACUAGAGGGUGUGAGAGAUCUAUGGAACUCAUGGUGUAGCAGUGAAAUGCGUUGAUAUCAUGGGGAACACCAAAGGCGAAGGCAUUAGAUUGGCACACUCCUGACACUGAGCAGCGAAAGCGUGGGUAGCGAAUGGGAUUAGAUACCCCANUANUC